rnacentral:rRNA from 1 species
AGAGUUUGAUCCUGGCUCAGGAUGAACUUCGGCGGUGUGCCUAAUACAUGCAAGUCGUACGCACUGGCCCAACUGAUUGAUGGUGCUUGCACCUGAUUGACGAUGGAUCACCAGUGAGUGGCGGACGGGUGAGUAACACGUAGGUAACCUGCCUCGGAGCGGGGGAUAACAUUUGGAAACAGAUGCUAAUACCGCAUAACAACAAAAGCCACAUGGCUUUUGUUUGAAAGAUGGCUUUGGCUAUCACUCUGGGAUGGACCUGCGGUGCAUUAGCUAGUUGGUAAGGUAACGGCUUACCAAGGCAAUGAUGCAUAGCCGAGUUGAGAGACUGACCGGCCACAAUGGAACUGAGACACGGUCCAUACUCCUACGGGAGGCAGCAGUAGGGAAUCUUCCACAAUGGGCGCAAGCCUGAUGGAGCAACACCGCGUGAGUGAAGAAGGGUUUCGGCUCGUAAAGCUCUGUUGUUGGAGAAGAACGUGCGUGAGAGUAACUGUUCACGCAGUGACGGUAUCCAACCAGAAAGUCACGGCUAACUACGUGCCAGCAGCCGCGGUAAUACGUAGGUGGCAAGCGUUAUCCGGAUUUAUUGGGCGUAAAGCGAGCGCAGGCGGUUGCUUAGGUCUGAUGUGAAAGCCUUCGGCUUAACCGAAGAAGUGCAUCGGAAACCGGGCGACUUGAGUGCAGAAGAGGACAGUGGAACUCCAUGUGUAGCGGUGGAAUGCGUAGAUAUAUGGAAGAACACCAGUGGCGAAGGCGGCUGUCUGGUCUGCAACUGACGCUGAGGCUCGAAAGCAUGGGUAGCGAACAGGAUUAGAUACCCUGGUAGUCCAUGCCGUAAACGAUGA